rnacentral:sRNA from 1 species
GCUGGGCGCAGUGGCGCACGCCUGUAAUCCCAGCAGCUCAGGAGGCGGAGACAGGAGGAUCACGAGUUCAAAGCCGUCCUCAGCAAUUUAGCGAGGCGCUAAGCAACUCAGUGAGACCCUGUCUCUA